GACUAGAGCACCUCCCCUAUUGAGGGAGACAGGCUGAGGAUGUCAGGGAUGCUCAGCCUGGAGAAGAGAAGACAUCACCAGAAGGUUCCCUCAAGGACCCUGGAGGUCUCGGGCACGGGGAGCAGCUCCCAGUGCCAAGGGACUCUGCUGUUCUGCAGACACUCAGGUGGCACAUCCUCACUGACUCCACCCAGACCUGCUCCAGGGAUGGAGUUACCCUUGUGCCUGCAGUGCCCUGGAUGUCCAAGCCCACGGCUGGCAUUGGCUGUGGAACUGUCAGAGGUGUCAUGUCCUUCACACAGGACAUGGGGUUCCACAUCCUCAUUUUCCAGGGUAGGAUAAGAUGUUUGUGCCACAGAUGGCCUUGCCUAUCUGCAUGAAAUGCUGUUGCUCUUCCCUCUCCUUGUCAGAACGUGGAAAAUGGAAGAAUACUUUGUAAUCUGGUUAUAUGGACCCUUCACAUCUUUCACCUCCCACUUUUUUUGUGUAGAUGCAGUUUCUACUCAUAGAAAUGGGUCAAAGCCUGGCCUGGAUGUGAGGGAUGGGAUGUCCAGGGUUUGUCACAACCCCUUGUUUGCCCAGAGAAGC